UGCUAAAACUCAAAGGUCUGCCAUUCAUGCAGAAGAUAAAGGAAAUAUUGAAACAGUAUUUCUAAGGCUGAAGAGCAGGAAACAGGAGAUACUGCUUUGGGACACAUCAAGAAUCAAGUGUUAUUUGACUUCGAAAUUCACUCUGUGAAGAUGCUGACAGCACAGGAAGUGGCCAAAGGUUUCCAUGCAAAACCUUCUAAAUCAUUUCAAUCUUGGAAAGAGACUUAGAGUUUGAAUUGCGGGGACAGGGUAUGAAACAUUAAACCGUGUCCAGAUGGAACUUUAGUCACCACCUUUAAGCAUUCAAAGAGCAGCAGGAUGGUAUAAAUAAAA